CAGAAAGAGGUAAGAUGAAUGUUCAAGGAAUAGAAUGUUUCAAACGAAAUGGAUGACUGAAUGCUUAUGACUGGAAUAUUUUCAAACAGUUUAACGCCAUGUUAUAGACGAAUCCCCGGUGUGAAUAAACAAUUCUCAUUGUUUCGUCUUAACAAUUAAAUUUCGUUUCGGACCUUAGCACGGCGCACACUUUUUAUCAUUUUUCACAUAAGUUAAGAAAGCAUGCAAGAGAUACGAACGAAGAUACUGGUUUGCAUUGCAUCUGAUUAGCGUUACCUACGUGCUGUACCGGGAGGCCAAACACCUGUGAAGAGAAGACUGGUCAAAUUUGAAGAUUUGACAAGUGGGUCAGGAUUACUUUCCACAGGAGGCCAAACACCUGUGAUGAGAAGAUUGGUCAAAUCUGAAGAUUUGUCAAGUGGGUCAGGAUUACUUUCCACAGG